rnacentral:rRNA from 1 species
GACGAACGCUGGCGGCGUGCUUAACACAUGCAAGUCGAACGAGGCCCCUCCUUCGGGAGGGUGUCCUAGUGGCGAACGGGUGAGUAACACGUGGGCAACCUGCCCCCGGCUCUGGGAUAACCCCAAGAAAUUGGGGCUAAUACCGGAUAUGACCGCUGACCGCAUGGUCUGGUGGUGGAAAGAUUUUUUCGGCUGGGGAUGGGCCCGCGGCCUAUCAGCUUGUUGGUGGGGUAGAGGCCUACCAAGGCGACGACGGGUAGCCGGCCUGAGAGGGUGACCGGCCACACUGGGACUGAGACACGGCCCAGACUCCUACGGGAGGCAGCAGUGGGGAAUAUUGCGCAAUGGGCGGAGGCCUGACGCAGCGACGCCGCGUGGGGGAUGACGGCCUUCGGGUUGUAAACCUCUUUCAGCAGGGACGAAGCGAAAGUGACGGUACCUGCAGAAGAAGCACCGGCCAACUACGUGCCAGCCGCCGCCGUAA